rnacentral:misc_RNA from 1 species
UUGAAUGAACUUGGUGUGGUUGUUGCUGGCCCUUGGCAUGUGCACACCCAUCAUCCUCAUCUUUCCACCUGUGCACAUCUUGUAGACUUGGGGGGGAUAUUAUUUCCCCCGGUCUAUGUCUUUUCAUAUACCCUAUGUAUGUAACAGAAUGUAUUAUUUGGGCCUUGUGCCUAUAAACUUUAUA